GAAAAAUGAAAGAAAGAAAAAAGAAAGGAAGAAAAGAAAAAGCAAAGGAAUGAAAAUUCAUCUUAGAGGCGUAAUUUUGACAGUGUUUGUAAAUUUCUUUGAAGUUUUAUUUAUUUGGUUUAGAUUUUGGGGUGAGCUUAGUAAUUAUUUUAACUGUAGUCAACUCACAUAACCAUUGUAGCACCACCUGACUGAGAUUAACGUUCUCUGGGGUUUUAUUUGUUUUUGUGGUUUGGAUCUAUGAUUUGGGGAAAGAAGAGUUGCUGGCUCAUUUCGGCUGACUUGUAACCUUCCUGUCUUCGACUCCCGAACGCCGAAUUGCAGGUUCUCAGUGUCUGAGACAGUGAAUCAUGCGUGCACCACUGACAUUCAGCUGAGCAGAGCUGACCUGAGCGGUCUACUGGAAUUGUCUCUGGUGAAACAGCUGUGGUGAAAAUGAAACUAAUUAAACUGAAACAAAAUUUCCCCAGAUCUUCCAAGCCCCUGGUCAGUAAACUGAUUUGAGAGAAUCGUUCUGCAUGUUUUAAAUUCUGUGUAUGGAAUAGUAUGCUGUGUUCACUGGGUUAUCCUACAAUUCUUUAAUCCUUAUUUUUAGGUUUUUCCUUUCCUUAUUUCCAGGGUGUUAUGUAGCCCAGGCUGGUUUCUCAUGCAGUUUAAUCUUCCUGCCUCUAACUCUGAAAACUAGGAUUAUGGGUGUGCUCCACCACACCAAGUUUAUGCCGUGUUGUGACACCUCCAGGGCUUUGUGUAUACGCCAGGCAAGCACUCUACCAAUUAACUGAGCUCCACCCCUAGUGUCUAUAUCCAUUAUUGACAAGUCUGAUGACUCAGUCCCCAUCCAAAGUCCCUGUCUCGCAUCUCCUCCUGGCAGCCUUUCCAAGGUGGGCCUGGCACACUUUCGGUGCUGAGUGAGGCCUCUCUGAAUGAAGUCUCUUGUUCUUCGCACACUUCUUAGCCAAGUGUACCUGUUUCGUAAUUCCUGGUUACGCCAAAUAAAGAAAAGCUCCUCAAACCUAACCUAGACUGUGAAGUCUCUAGCAUGUUUGCUGUAAAACAGCCUUCCCCGUGCACGCACUGUUACAGCAGGUCCCCCCGGGCUCCAGUACCUGCAGGCAUGCUCUCUAGUCUGAUAGGGAUGGAUUUCAGAAUAUUGUCAAGGUUAGAAGAGAUUGUAAGACAGAUGAACUCAACAAGGAGGUGAGUUUUGAGACGAGAGUGGAGAGAGGGGCUUCAUUCUUGUUUUCUAGGGUUUAAGAGCCGUGACUAUCACCAUCCUUGUGUAAGCCUCCAUUCCCAGCAGGUCACUCCUCGGUUUAGCAAUGUGGAGAUUCUGCGCUAUGUGGGAUAGAUAAAACUUAGACGUCACACAGCGGGGUGUGGUUGUGCAAGUCUGAAUUCCAGCCCGCCGGUAGUUGAGGCAGGAGGACCGAGAGUCUGAGGUUAGCCUAAGACUACACAGAGGGAAGAUCUAAGGAAAUUUAAGGGGGGCAGUCAGAUGGCUGAGCGGCUAGAGAUGCUUGUCAGCAAGCCUGGAGACCCGAGUCAGAGCCCUGGGAUCUACAGUGUGAAGUGGGUGCUGUAAACUGUCCUCUGUCCUUCGUGAGCACACGCUGGGACACUGGAACACUGUUCCGAUAAACAUGUGAAACACAAACAGACAUGAUAAAUCCUACAGAUCGGACUGCUUGGACCCAUUCAUAGAAUUUCAGCUGUUGUUUUUACUCCCCACCGCUGAAAUUCUUUGUGUGUGUGUGUGUGUGUGUGUGUGUGUAUAACCUAUAUGUUUGUCAUAUAUGUGAAUGAGUCUAAGUACCUGUGUGUUCUUGCAGAGGCCAGAGGAGGUAUUAGGAACCCCCAUCUAUCAUGUCUGUCCUGUUCUUCUGAGGUGGAGUCCCUCACUGAAUGUGGAGCUUUCUUCUUUUAGCUAAGCCGGCAGCCAGCGAGUCCUCAUGAUCUUGUCUCCACUGUUCUCAACGCGAAGGUUGCAGGCAUGAGGGGGGUGAUAGUCAGCUUUCGUGUUGACUCUGGGAUCCAAACUUCGGUCUUCACAUGUGGGCAGCAAGCAUUAUUAACUACUGAGGCGUCUCUCCAUCCUCUGAAUAAUUUUUAAAUAUUUUAUUUUUUAUUUUGUGUGUGUGUGUGUGUGUGUGUGUGUACCAGAUGUAUGCAGGUGCCUGUGGGGGCCAGAAGAGGAUGAUGAAUCCCCUGAAGAUGGAGUUAUAAGCCAUUGUGAGCGACCGCUGUGGAUGCUGGGAAUUCAGAUGUACUCCUCUGGAAGAGCAUCAGGCGGUCUAACACUGAGUAAUCGGUCCAGUUCCUCACCCCCAGCAGAUGUUCCAGAUUCUCAGGAACAACUGAAAUAAAAUAUUCUCUUUUGUUUCCA